UGGAUUGUAGCUCAGCGGUAGAGCACUUGCCUAGCACAUGCGAGAGGCCCUGGGUUCAAUCCUCAGCACCACAU
rnacentral:tRNA from 1 species